rnacentral:rRNA from 2 species
AGGUGUUGUUGGGUAGGGGAGCGUUCUGUAAGCCUGCGAAGGUGGCCUGUGAGGGUUGCUGGAGGUAUCAGAAGUGCGAAUGCUGACAUAAGUAACGAUAAAGCGGGUGAAAAGCCCGCUCGCCGGAAGACCAAGGGUUCCUGUCCAACGUUAAUCGGGGCAGGGUGAGUCGACCCCUAAGGCGAGGCCGAAAGGCGUAGUCGAUGGGAAACGGGUUAAUAUUCCCGUACUUGGUGUUACUGCGAAGGGGGGACGGAGAAGGCUAUGUUGGCCGGGCGACGGUUGUCCCGGUUUAAGCGUGUAGGUGUGUGUUCCAGGUAAAUCCGGUUCACUUUAACACUGAGGCGUGACGACGAGGCACUACGGUGCUGAAGCAACAAAUGCCCUGCUUCCAGGAAAAGCCUCUAAGCAUCAGGUAACAUCAAAUCGUACCCCAAACCGACACAGGUGGUCAGGUAGAGAAUACCAAGGCGCUUGAGAGAACUCGGGUGAAGGAACUAGGCAAAAUGGUGCCGUAACUUCGGGAGAAGGCACGCUGACACGUAGGUGAAGUGAUUUACUCACGGAGCUGAAGUCAGUCGAAGAUACCAGCUGGCUGCAACUGUUUAUUAAAAACACAGCACUGUGCAAACACGAAAGUGGACGUAUACGGUGUGACGCCUGCCCGGUGCCGGAAGGUUAAUUGAUGGGGUCAGCGCAAGCGAAGCUCCUGAUCGAAGCCCCGGUAAACGGCGGCCGUAACUAUAACGGUCCUAAGGUAGCGAAAUUCCUUGUCGGGUAAGUUCCGACCUGCACGAAUGGCGUAAUGAUGGCCAGGCUGUCUCCACCCGAGACUCAGUGAAAUUGAACUCGCUGUGAAGAUGCAGUGUACCCGCGGCAAGACGGAAAGACCCCGUGAACCUUUACUAUAGCUUGACACUGAACAUUGAGCCUUGAUGUGUAGGAUAGGUGGGAGGCUUUGAAGUGUGGACGCCAGUCUGCAUGGAGCCGACCUUGAAAUACCACCCUUUAAUGUUUGAUGUUCUAACGUGGACCCGUGAUCCGGGUUGCGGACAGUGUCUGGUGGGUAGUUUGACUGGGGCGGUCUCCUCCUAAAGAGUAACGGAGGAGCACGAAGGUUGGCUAAUCCUGGUCGGACAUCAGGAGGUUAGUGCAAUGGCAUAAGCCAGCUUGACUGCGAGCGUGACGGCGCGAGCAGGUGCGAAAGCAGGUCAUAGUGAUCCGGUGGUUCUGAAUGGAAGGGCCAUCGCUCAACGGAUAAAAGGUACUCCGGGGAUAACAGGCUGAUACCGCCCAAGAGUUCAUAUCGACGGCGGUGUUUGGCACCUCGAUGUCGGCUCAUCACAUCCUGGGGCUGAAGUAGGUCCCAAGGGUAUGGCUGUUCGCCAUUUAAAGUGGUACGCGAGCUGGGUUUAGAACGUCGUGAGACAGUUCGGUCCCUAUCUGCCGUGGGCGCUGGAGAACUGAGGGGGGCUGCUCCUAGUACGAGAGGACCGGAGUGGACGCAUCACUGGUGUUCGGGUUGUCAUGCCAAUGGCACUGCCCGGUAGCUAAAUGCGGAAGAGAUAAGUGCUGAAAGCAUCUAAGCACGAAACUUGCCCCGA